GGAUGCGAUCAUAGCAGCAGUAAAGCACCGGAUCCCAUCAGAACUCUGAAGUUAAGCGUGCUUGGGCGAGAGUAGUACUAGGAUGGGUGACCUCCUGGGAAGUCCUCGUGUUGCAUUCC
rnacentral:rRNA from 1 species